rnacentral:rRNA from 1 species
UACAGAGGUGGCAAGCGUUGUUCGGAAUUACUGGGCGUAAAGGGCGCGUAGGCGGUCUUUUAAGUUCCGUGUGAAAUCCCUCGGCUCAACUGGGGAACUGCACGGGAAACUGGAAGGCUUGAGACCAGGAGAGGUGAGUGGAAUUCCCAGUGUAGCGGUGAAAUGCGUAGAUAUUGGGAGGAACACCAGUGGCGAAGGCGGCUCACUGGACUGGUACUGACGCUGAGGCGCGAAAGCGUGGGGAGCAAACGGG